rnacentral:sRNA from 1 species
GCCAGGUAUGGUGGGGCAUGCCUGUAAUCCCAGCAGCUCCGGAGGCUGAGAUAGGAGGAUCACGAGUUCAAAGCCAGCCUCAGCAAAGUGAGAUGCUAAGCAACUCAGUGAGAUCUUGUAUCUA